CAGCCGCGGUAAUACGAACCGUGCAAACGUGGUUCGGAAUCACUGGGCUUAAAGGGCGCGUAGGCGGUCGACCAAGUCCGGGGUGAAAUCUUUCGGCUCAACCGGAAAAGUGCCUUGGAUACUGGUCGGCUGGAGGGAGGUAGGGGCAGGUGGAACUUCCAGUGGAGCGGUGAAAUGCGUUGAUAUUGGAACGAACGCCGGUGGCGAAAGCGACCUGCUGGACCUUUCCUGACGCUGAGGCGCGAAAGCUACGGGAGCAAACGGGAUUAGAUACCCCGGUAGUCCUAGCCCUAAACGAUGGGUACUAGGUUGUGGACUUAACAUGGAUUCACAGCCGAAGCAAAAGUGUUAA
rnacentral:rRNA from 1 species